GUGCCCUGAAGUGCAAUGAAUAGCGUGUUGGACUUCUAAUCCAAAGGUUGUGGGUUUGAAUCCCACCUGGGAUG
rnacentral:tRNA from 1 species